GACGAACGCUGGCGGCGUGCCUAACACAUGCAAGUCGAACGGGGUGAACCUCUUCGGAGAUUCACUUAGUGGCGAACGGGUGAGUAACGCGUGAGGAACCUGCCUUCCAGUGGGGGACAACAGUUGGAAACGACUGCUAAUACCGCAUAAUGUAGCGAGACCGCAUGAUCUUGCUACCAAAGCUUUAUGUGCUGGAAGAUGGCCUCGCGUCUGAUUAGAUAGUUGGUGAGGUAACGGCUCACCAAGUCGACGAUCAGUAGCCGGUCUGAGAGGAUGAACGGCCACAUUGGGACUGAGAUACGGCCCAG
rnacentral:rRNA from 1 species